GGUAAGAUGUCUGAAUUUAAGGUGAUAGACUGUAAAUCUAUUUAUGGAAGUUUUUCCUCUUACCA
rnacentral:tRNA from 1 species